rnacentral:rRNA from 1 species
GGUUAAGUGACUAAGCGUACACGGUGGAUGCCUAGGCAGUCAGAGGCGAUGAAGGGCGUGCUAAUCUGCGAAAAGCGUCGGUAAGGUGAUAUGAACCGUUAUAACCGGCGAUACCCGAAUGGGGAAACCCAGUGUGUUUCGACACACUAUCAUGUCAUGAAUACAUAGUGGCAUGAGGCGAACCGGGGGAACUGAAACAUCUAAGUACCCCGAGGAAAAGAAAUCAACCGAGAUUCCCCCAGUAGCGGCGAGCGAACGGGGAGGAGCCCAGAACCUGAAUCGGCUUGUGUGUUAGUGGAAGCGUCUGGAAAGUCGCGCAGCAAAGGGUGAUAGCCCCGUACACUAAAAUGCACAGGUCGUGAGUUCGAUGAGUAGGGCGGGACACGUGACAUCCUGUCUGAAUAUGGGGGGACCAUCCUCCAAGGCUAAAUACUCCUGACUGACCGAUAGUGAACCAGUACCGUGAGGGAAAGGCGAAAAGAACCCCGGCGAGGGGAGUGAAAUAGAACCUGAAACCGUGUACGUACAAGCAGUGGGAGCACCUUCGUGGUGUGACUGCGUACCUUUUGUAUAAUGGGUCAGCGACUUAUAUUUUGUAGCAAGGUUAACCGUAUAGGGGAGCCGUAGGGAAACCGAGUCUUAACUGGGCGAUUAGUUGCAAGGUAUAGACCCGAAACCCGGUGAUCUAGCCAUGGGCAGGUUGAAGGUUGGGUAACACUAACUGGAGGACCGAACCGACUAAUGUUGAAAAAUUAGCGGAUGACUUGUGGCUGGGGGUGAAAGGCCAAUCAAACCGGGAGAUAGCUGGUUCUCCCCGAAAGCUAUUUAGGUAGCGCCUCGUGAACUCAUCUUCGGGGGUAGAGCACUGUUUCGGCUAGGGGGCCAUCCCGGCUUACCAAACCGAUGCAAACUCCGAAUACCGAAGAAUGUUAUCACGGGAGACACACGGCGGGUGCUAACGUCCGUCGUGAAGAGGGAAACAACCCAGACCGCCAGCUAAGGUCCCAAAGUCAUGGUUAAGUGGGAAACGAUGUGGGAAGGCAUAGACAGCCAGGAUGUUGGCUUAGAAGCAGCCAUCAUUUAAAGAAAGCGUAAUAGCUCACUGGUCGAGUCGGCCUGCGCGGAAGAUGUAACGGGGCUAAACCAUGCACCGAAGCUGCGGCAGCGACGCUUAGGCGUUGUUGGGUAGGGGAGCGUUCUGUAAGCCGUUGAAGGUGGCCUGUGAGGGUUGCUGGAGGUAUCAGAAGUGCGAAUGCUGACAUAAGUAACGAUAAAGCGGGUGAAAAGCCCGCUCGCCGGAAGACCAAGGGUUCCUGUCCAACGUUAAUCGGGGCAGGGUGAGUCGACCCCUAAGGCGAGGCUGAAAAGCGUAGUCGAUGGGAAACAGGUUAAUAUUCCUGUACUUGGUGUUACUGCGAAGGGGGGACGGAGAAGGCUAGGCU